UUGCAAGGCUUGCCUUGAAAUUCCGGGGGUUCGCCCCCAUAAUCGUCUCACGGUCGUAAUUCCGGCAAACUGGAAGCGUUCUGGACGGCGGUUCGAUUCCGCCCACCUCCACCACAGGGGGGGUGAUCUGGUCUCGACAGGGUGAUAGAAGGCGAGCAGGCGGCCCGAGAGGCGACGGACGUAAUCCGCGCAAAUUAGUAAACGCCAACGAUGAGCGUUUUGCAAUGGCCGCUUAAGGCCUAUGCCGAGGCUGCUUGAGCCUUGUUACCAAAGAAAAGCCGGCGGGGACUUCGGUCCCCGUCGUCA
rnacentral:tmRNA from 1 species